GACGUAGGGUGCAAGCGUUGUCCGGAUUUACUGGGCGUAAAGAGCGCGUAGGCGGCUCGUUAAGUGUGAAGCUAAAUCUCCAGGCUCAACCUGGAAACUAUUUCGCAUACUGGCGGGCUGGAGUGAUGCAGAGGUGGAUAGAAUUCCCGGUGUAGCGGUGAAAUGCGCAGAUAUCAGGAGGAACACCGGUGGCGAAGGCGGGGUCUCUGGGCCGUAACUGACGCUGGAGGAGCGAAAAGCCGUGGGGAGCGAACAGG
rnacentral:rRNA from 1 species